ACAACCAGGAUGUUGGCUUAGAAGCAGCCACUCAUUUAAAGAGUGCGUAAUAGCUCACUGGUCGAGUGAUCCUGCGCCGAAAAUUUCCGGGGCUAAAACGUACUACCGAAGCUACGGCAUCAUUUAUGAUGGGUAGGGGAGCUUCGUAUGCAGGCUGAAGCAUGACCGUAAGGACAUGUGGACAGUAUACGAGUGAGAAUGUUGGCAUGAGUAGCGAGACGUGGGUGAGAAUCCCACGGGCCGUAAACCCAAGGUUUCCAGGGGAAGGUUCGUCCGCCCUGGGUUAGUCGGGACCUAAGCCGAGGCCGAAAGGCGUAGGUGAUGGACAACAGGUUGAUAUUCCUGUACCGCCAAUAAGCGUUUGAGAGAUGGAGUGACACAGUAGGAUAAGCUAACCGUACUGUUGGUUAUGUACGGCUAAGCAUUGAGGCAGUCUAAAUAGGCAAAUCCGUUUAGACAAUGCUAGGAUGUGAUGGGGAAGCCCUUCGGGGCGAAGUAGCUGAUUUCACACUGUCAAGAAAAGCUUCUAUCGAGUUUAAAGGCGCCCGUACCGUAAACCGACACAGGUGGGUGAGGAGAGUAUCCUAAGGCCAGCGAGAGAACUAUUGUUAAGGAACUCGGCAAAAUGACCCCGUAACUUAGGGAGAAGGGGUGCCUGUCUAUGACAGGCCGCAGAGAAUAGGCCCAAGCGACUGUUUACCAAAAACACAGGUUUCUGCUAAGUCGCAAGACGAUGUAUAGGAGCUGACGCCUGCCCGGUGCUGGAAGGUUAAGGGGAUCUGUUAGAGCAAUCGAAGCAGUGAACUUAAGCCCCAGUAAACGGCGGCCGUAACUAUAACGGUCCUAAGGUAGCGAAAUUCCUUGUCGGGUAAGUUCCGACCCGCACGAAAGGCGUAACGAUUUGGGCACUGUCUCAACAAUAGACUCGGUGAAAUUGUAAUCCCGGUGAAGAUGCCGGGUACCUGCGACAGGACGGAAAGACCCCAUGGAGCUUUACUGUAGCUUGACGUUGGGUCUUGGUACUACAUGUACAGGAUAGGUGGGAGACUAUGAAGCAUGGACGCCAGUCUGUGUGGAGUCAUCCUUGGGAUACCACCCUUGUAGUACUGGGAUCCUAACCAUAGGCCUUGAAUCAGGUCUUGGAACACCGUCAGGUGGGCAGUUUGACUGGGGCGGUCGCCUCCUAAAAAGUAACGGAGGCGCUCAAAGGUUUCCUCAGCACGGUCGGAAAUCGUGCGAAGAGUGUAAAGGCAAAAGGAAGCUUGAUUGCAAGACAUACAGGUCGAGCAAGGACGAAAGUCGGACUUAGUGAUCCGGUGGU
rnacentral:rRNA from 1 species